CAUGCAAGUCGAGCGGACAGAAGGGAGCUUGCUCCCGGAUGUAGCGGCGGACGGGUGAGUAACACGUGGGUAACUGCCUGUAAGACUGGGAUAACUCCGGGAAACCGGAGCUAAUACCGGAUAGUUCCCUGAACCGCAUGGUUCAAGGAUGAAAGACGGUUUCGGCUGUCACUUACAGAUGGACCCGCGGCGCAUAGCUAGUUGGUGGGGUAAUGGCUCACCAAGGCGACGAUGCGUAGCCGACCUGAGAGGGUGAUCGGCCACACUGGGACUGAGACACGGCCCAGACUCCUACGGGAGGCAGCAGUAGGGAAUCUUCCGCAAUGGACGAAAGUCUGACGGAGCAACGCCGCGUGAGUGAUGAAGGUUUUCGGAUCGUAAAGCUCUGUUGUUAGGGAAGAACAAGUGCGAGAGUAACUGCUCGCACCUUGACGGUACCUAACCAGAAAGCCACGGCUAACUACGUGCCAGCAGCCGCGGUAAUACGUAGGUGGCAGCGUUGUCCGGAAUUAUUGGGCGUAAAGGGCUCGCAGGCGGUUUCUUAAGUCUGAUGUGAAAGCCCCCGGCUCAACCGGGGAGGGUCAUUGGAAACUGGGAAACUUGAGUGCAGAAGAGGAGAGUGGAAUUCCACGUGUAGCGGUGAAAUGCGUAGAGAUGUGGAGGAACACCAGUGGCGAAGGCGACUCUCUGGUCUGUAACUGACGCUGAGGAGCGAAAGCGUGGGGAGCGAACAGGAUUAGAUACCCUGGUAGUCCACGCCGUAAACGAUGAGUGCUAAGUGUUAGGGGGUUUCCGCCCCUUAGUGCUGCAGCUAACGCAUUAAGCACUCCGCCUGGGGAGUACGGUCGCAAGACUGAAACUCAAAGGAAUUGACGGGGGCCCGCACAAGCGGUGGAGCAUGUGGUUUAAUUCGAAGCAACGCGAAGAACCUUACCAGGUCUUGACAUCCUCUGACAACCCUAGAGAUAGGGCUUUCCCUUCGGGGACAGAGUGACAGGUG
rnacentral:rRNA from 1 species